AUCAAUAAGCGGAGGAAAAGAAACCAACAGGGAUUGCCCCAGUAACGGCGAGUGAAGCGGCAACAGCUCAAAUUUGAAAUCUGGCCCUUGGGUCCGAGUUGUAAUUUGUAGAGGAUGCUUUUGGCGAGGUGCCUUCCGAGUUCCCUGGAACGGGACGCCAUAGAGGGUGAGAGCCCCGUCUGGUCGGACACCGAGCCUCUGUAAAGCUCCUUCGACGAGUCGAGUAGUUUGGGAAUGCUGCUCAAAAUGGGAGGUAUAUGUCUUCUAAAGCUAAAUAUUGGCCAGAGACCGAUAGCGCACAAGUAGAGUGAUCGAAAGAUGAAAAGCACUUUGAAAAGAGGGUUAAAAAGUACGUGAAAUUGUUGAAAGGGAAGCGCCUAUGACCAGACUUGGGCCCGGUGAAUCAUCCAGCGUUCUCGCUGGUGCACUUUGCCGGGCACAGGCCAGCAUCAGUUUGGCGCGGGGGAAAAAGGCUUUGGGAAUGUGGCUCCCUCGGGAGUGUUAUAGCCCAUUGUGUAAUACCCUGCGCCGGACUGAGGUACGCGCAUUGCAAGGAUGCUGGCGUAAUGGUCAUCAGCGACCCGUCUUGAAACACGGACCAAGGAGUCGUCUUCGUAUGCGAGUGUUCGGGUGUCAAACCCCUACGCGUAAUGAAAGUGAACGCAGGUGAGAGCUUCGGCGCAUCAUCGACCGAUCCUGAUGUUCUCGGAUGGAUUUGAGUAAGAGCAUACGGGGCCGGACCCGAAAGAAGGUGAACUAUGCCUGUAUAGGGUGAAGCCAGAGGAAACUCUGGUGGAGGCUCGCAGCGGUUCUGACGUGCGAAUCGAUCGUCAAAUAUGGGCAUGGGGGCGAAAGACUAAUCGAACCUUCUAGUAGCUGGUUCCGCA
rnacentral:rRNA from 1 species